AGUAGCGGCGAGUGAAGCUGCAACAGCUCAAAUUUGAAAUCUGGCCCGCGGGUCCGAAGUGUAAUUUGUAGAGGAUGCUGUUGGUGAGGUACCUUCCGAGUUCCCUGGAACGGGACGCCAUAGAGGGUGAGAGCCCCGUCUGGUUGGAUACCGGUCCUCUGAAAAGCUCCUUCGACGAGUCGAGUUGUUUGGGA
rnacentral:rRNA from 1 species